UACGAAGGGUGCAAGCGUUACUCGGAAUUACUGGGCGUAAAGGGUGCGUAGGUGGUUGUUUAAGUCUGUUGUGAAAGCCCCGGGCUCAACCUGGGAAUGGCAAUGGAUACUGGACAGCUAGAGUGCGGUAGAGGGUAGUGGAAUUCCCGGUGUAGUGGUGGAAUGCGUAGAUAUCGGGAGGAACACCCGUGGCGAAAGCGGCUCUCUGGGACGGUACUGACGCUGAGACGCGAAAGCGUGGGGAGCAAACAGG
rnacentral:rRNA from 1 species